CCUACGGGAGGCAGCAGUGGGGAAUCUUGCGCAAUGGGCGAAAGCCUGACGCAGCAACGCCGCGUGCGGGAAGAAGGCUUUCGGGCUGUAAACCGCUUUCAGCAGGAACGAAAAUGACGGUACCUGCAGAAGAAGGAGCGGCCAACUAUGUGCCAGCAGCCGCGGUGAUACAUAGGCUUCAAGCGUUGUCCGGAUUUAUUGGGCGUAAAGAGUUCGUAGGCGGCCGAGUAAGUCGGGUGUGAAAAUUCUGGGCUCAACCCAGAGACGCCACCCGAUACUGCUUGACUUGAGUUCGAUAGGGGAGUGGGGAAUUCCUAGUGUAGCGGUGAAAUGCGCAGAUAUUAGGAGGAACACCGGUGGCGAAGGCGCCACUCUGGAUCGAUACUGACGCUGAGGAACGAAAGCAUGGGUAGCAAACAGGAUUAGAUACCCUGGUAGUCCAUGCCGUAAACGGUGGGCACUAGGUGUGGGUUUCUAUUAACGAAAUCCGCGCCGUCGCUAACGCAUUAAGUGCCCCGCCUGGGGAGUACGUCGCAGACUAACUAAUAGAUAGACGCGNGAGACGNGCGACGACGACGACGAGGAGAG
rnacentral:rRNA from 1 species